CUAGAAACUCUAGUCUUUGUGUAGGCUUCAUGGUGGGAGAAUUUCCUCCCGGGACAGUAGUAGCAGCGUUUUAGACUGGAAGAAAGCCCAUAAAUUGCCUUUCGGAUCCUAGCCAUCCAGAGGCAUCUUUUAAGAAGUUUCUCUCGGAAUGGGGCCUUCCCAAUCCUGUUAGAGCGCAGUAAGUGGUCCUUUGAGACUUAAUGUGGCCUCAUUAAUUCAUUCCAUCUACAAACGUUUGUUAAACCCUGCCAUCUGCUAGGUACCGAAGGUGCAAAGACAUCUGUCUUAUGCGGCCUGAUGAGUAGCAGAUGCCAUACUUUUAGAAGAUGUCAGUACUGUGGAAUGAGAUGGCCAACCAUCAUAUGUAUGCUGCAACUCAGAGAUACAGCUGUGAAUUCUCAGAAUACGGUACUGAUGGCCCUGUCGUCCAAUGCAUCCAAUGUCUGAUUUUCAUCUUGGCCAGCUUUCUACUAUGCCUUAGACAAAACUCAACCAUUCUCUUCCAUGAUGUAGAAUGGCUACUGAAAAGGAAGAAGAAAAGAAAGCUUUCAGAGGACAGUGGUAAACAAAUGCAUUAUGAUUUACUUAACAGGGAACUGUAAGUUUUUUACGUCCAAGAACAUCGAACUUGCUUUUUUAAAAUACUUUCUAAAAAUUUUCUUUUCUUUUGUUUCUUUUUUCCC